rnacentral:misc_RNA from 1 species
AUCGAUCCAGGUGCAAUACGCGGUGUAAAGAACUCAAACUUUGAUAGCGGCUUCUCUGUUUGCCAGGUGAGGAAGGUAAACGCCCCUAUCUCAGUCCGGCGAAUAUACGUGGAGAGAUAAGCUGGAAAACGAGUGAAACCGCCAAAACAGAGUUGUCGUCUGCCACGCGGACCUUAGUUCAUAGGAUCGUGAAAACUUUUAUUGAACUAUAUAUUUAUCAUUGAUAAAAGUCUAUACACACAUUUCUACAUAACGAUGCUCACGUAAGUGUGUUGUGACGUCAUGAGCCAAGACUUUGAUGCUGCAGACCAGCUUUUUCAGAUAUGUGAUUUAGACGGGUCUGGCUAUGUCGACGAAGCCGAGCUCGCCCAGAUCUGCAAGGAGCUGCCCGCUGAAGACCUUCACGAAAUAUUCCUGGAACUGGACAAGGAUCAAGAUGGACACAUAAGUGUAGAGGAGUUCAGAAGGGGCUUCAAGGAGAUCUACAAUAAUGUGAAGAAGCGGCGCCUGUCCAGUAAGACGGGUGAUGAGAGGGCUCCCCAGAACUGUUCUGUAGACGACGGAGUGCUGGACGAGUUUGUGGGGUCCCUUGACGAUGGUCUGAAAGCGUUGUCAUGCCAGGAACAGGUUUGUGACCUCUAUCAACAGCUGCACGCCUCGGACCAGUCCGAUCUACUACAGAACUUCGAGUCCAUCAUCCUGGGCGUCUUAAAAGAUGUACGAUUCUAUCAGCUGGAAAACGAACGGCUGGAAAAGUCCUUCAAAAGAGAGAAGGAGCAGCAGGAGCGACAUCUCCGUGAGCUGGAGGAUGAGAUGGACAAGGAGAUCCAGAAAUUGGAGGAGGCCUUCAAGGCAAAGGAAGAGGAAAGAAUUGCAACAGAGAAAGCCGAGCUUAGAAAAGAAGUAGACAACGAGAUAAAAACCCUUCAACAGAAUCUGACCAAAUUACAGGAGGAUAAAUCGGACCCCCGGGGAUCCGAGCUGGAGGAACAAGUCAACAACGUGAAGUUAAAGCUAGACGAAUUAACGGUAGAGAACAGGCGCCUGCGCAGUGAGCUGACAGACGCACAGACAAACCUGGCGCUGGUCCGGAGCGAGCUGGCCACCGUGAGACAGCAGCACAAGGACAAGUGUCAGGAGCUCUCCAUGGAAAAGCAAACUGUUAUGGAUUAUAUCAAAGAGCAAGACAACUUAACGAGGCAACUCCAUCUGUUACAUGAUGCUAACAAACAGCUGCACGACACAAAUGACGACCUCAGACUUGCCAUUGAGAGCAGACGACAGGGGCACAGACCGUCUGUGGCUAGUGCCACCAGCUCCACGCCCAACACAUGCGGCAAGGACCGGCGGGGCUCAGGUGAUGAGUGAGUACUUUCUGGGACACCGAUCAGGGACUCCCUCGAUUCGUUCCUGUAACCUGAGCCCCGCGUCAUCAGUAGUAGAGGAGCCGAUAUCUCGACAACUAGUCCGUCAGUAACUCGUCCUACUCACCCCGACACUUCCCUGGCAGACUGCCAAGAGACGAGACCUGUGAAGAGGACAACAUAGCGGACUGACUUAGACAGCGGUCACUCCACUCUGAGGGAACACAACGACCUUGACACCGAGUCCGAGGCUCACUAUGACGACGAUCUCUACCGACACCGGAUGUUCACUCCCAAACCUCCGGCCAACAGACUGGUAGAGGAGACUGAUGAACCGGAAUCUCAUGAUGAAACCGAGGCUGAGUCGGUGUUCCCCAAUGACAAUCGAGCGCUGCAGCUGCAAACUCGGCUAGGUGCACCAAGCAUCAGAUCUCCUCGUGCCAGUCUCAGAUCUCGCGAGAGCAGAAACAGUCGUCUUCGUCGAAUGACAGCAAGCCAAGAGUCCAUUGGCUCUUCCAAAGCCUCCCGGGACCCAGAAAGGAUGUACAAGAUCGUGCUGGCCGGGGAUGCAGCCGUGGGCAAAUCCAGCUUCAUCAUGAGACUGUGCAAAGGAAAAUUUGUUCCCAACCUCAGCUCAACAUUAGGCGUUGAUUUUCAAACAAAGGUUUUGGAGGUUGACGGGAGAACCAUUGCCUUGCAGUUGUGGGAUACCGCUGGCCAAGAGAGAUUUAGAAGCAUAGCCAAGUCGUACUUCCGUCGGGCGGACGGUGUCCUCCUGCUGUACGACUGUUCCUACGAACGAUCGUUCAUGAGUGUCAGGGAGUGGGUGGAUUCCAUAGAGGAAGGAGCCCAGAAGAAGGUUCCCAUCAUGCUGUGCGGUAACAAGUCGGAUCUGAGAGAGGAGGCGGAAAAACAGGGCCGAAAAGUGGUCAACUUUGAGGAGGGGCAAAGACUGGCCAGGGAGUUUGAAGGUCUGUUCAUAGAAACCAGUGCAAAAGAGGGUUCCAAUAUAGUUGACGCAGUGACGGAACUUUCUAGACUUUUAACGACGAACGAGGAUUUAGAAGUGAAAACCUUCCGGUCUGCAGCUCCAUAACGGAAACAUGAAGGGAAAGUCUUCAUGCUGCGGAUCGUAAUGGUUAACAAUGCACUGUCUCGUCAUCAUUUCAUUGUUUUAUGUGGUUAUAUGAGGAACAAGCACGCUUAUAUAAUGUAUCAGGGCUAUGCUUUUAUUUACACUUUUCAUUGUCCAUGUUAAUUUGUACAUUUUUAAUUUAUUUUGUGCAUUUUGUGAUGUUGAUAGCUAUAUCUCAAGUUUUAUACAUUUCAAAACAUUUUUACAUAUCCUUUUUUAAAAAUCUUAUCAUUGUUUUACAUGUUUAGAAAUCAGGUAAACUAUCCAUGAUUUAUCUGUUAUUAUGUGCAAUAGUUUAAUAAUAAUAGUCAGAAUUACAUGUAGAUAGAUUUGUUUUAUUGUUGUCAAGGAGAGUUUCGAUGCAGUAUGAAAUGAAGUAUUCGCUUUCGACAUUUCGUAUAAUGUGAACAGGUUUCGCACUCCCCAAGAUUGGACUUUCGUGUUCGAAAAAUUCAUCAUUUUUCAGUUUAUGAUUUACAAUUUGGUAUUUUCAUAGACACCGUCAGGUGUGAUAAUAAGGUACGUUUAUUUGUAUACUGAAACAAGAAAAAUGACAGAUGACCAGUGCAAUGAAGUAGACAAUGUUUCAAACACCUCUAAAAGUUUUAUGUUUUAAAUAGUAUUUUAUUGCACCACGUGUUUAGAAGCAAUUUUAUUUUCAAACCUUUACAAUAAUUCGCCCGUUCCAAAGAAUAAUCAAUUUUCUCCUAAAAUUCAUUAACUAACAUUUUAAAAAUUAUGAGGAGGAAAUCUGUAUCCAUUGAACUAGAUCUUAGCCUGGACACAUUGUCUUGUAUAGUCCCAUAAUAUAUAGGAUAAUAGUGACUGCAUACGGCAGACUUUCGAACAUAGCAGAGUAACUUUUUACUGCGCUCUCAAUUCCUGUAUGAUAUUCCCACUGUCUAGUCUCGCACCUUGUUUUUUAUGCUGGUAUUUAGUUGUUGAAGCAGAAUAUUAGCUUUUGUUAAGUUUUUUCUUUGGAAUAAAAAAUGAAACGUG